AACGAACGCUGGCGGCGUGCCUCAUACAUGCAAGUCGUACGCGAAUCCUGCCGCAAGGCAGGGUUUGAGUGGCAAACGGGUGCGUAACACGUAGGUAAUCUUCCUUUGAGUUGGGGAUAAACCCUCGAAAGGGGGUCUAAUACCGAAUAACACUUCUGGUUGGCAUCAACCGGAAAUUAAAGAUGGCCUCUGCUUGCAAGCUAUCGCUCGGAGAUGAGCCUGCGGCCGAUAGUUAGUUGGCGGGAUAAAAGCCCACCAAGACUUCGAUCGGUAGCCGGUCUGAGAGGAUGUCCGGCCACACUGGGACUGAGAUACGGCCCAGACUCCUACGGGAGGCAGCAGUAGGGAAUAUUGCGCAAUGGCCGCAAGGCUGACGCAGCAACGCCGCGUGGGGGAGU
rnacentral:rRNA from 1 species